rnacentral:misc_RNA from 1 species
AACGGUUGGAUAGAUCUCACUUUCCCAGUAAAAGAAGCACCUGCAACUAGUUCCUCAUCCUUCACAGGUGGCAUAUCACUCUUCCUCCCAGGUCUCGCUCGUUUGAUUCUGGGAGCGGUAUUAACAGCAGAACCUGCCAGAGGAGCUUCAGUUGUUUCAACAGGUUUAGGUGGACUUUCCAAAGUUUCAUCAGCUUUGUCCCCUGAAACGGCUGGAUUCAAUUCUUCUACGGUUACAUCUGUCCCAA